rnacentral:RNase_P_RNA from 1 species
UGAGUCGCCCGGAUCACCGCGUUGCUGUCAGUUAAUUCUGAAAGUGCCGAGGAAAGUCCGGACUCCACAGAGCAAGGUGGUGGGUAACGCCCACCCGGAGCAAUCCGCGGGAUCAGUGCCACAGAAAACAGACCGCCGAGAAAUCGGUAAGGGUGAAACGGUGGUGUAAGAGACCACCAGCAUUUACGGUGACGUAGAUGGCUAGGUAAACCCCACCAGGAGCAAGACCGCACAGAUAGCGCUUGAGAACUGCUCGUUCGAGCUAUCGGGUAGGUCGCUUGAUUCCGUGAGUAAUUGCGGAACUAGAUGGAUGGUGAUCCCUCAUUCGUGAGGACAGGAUCCGGCUUAUAGGGCGACUCAUCUU